rnacentral:rRNA from 1 species
UACAGAGGUGGCAAGCGUUGUUCGGAAUUACUGGGCGUAAAGGGCGCGUAGGUGGCCUUCUUAGUCAGACGUGAAAUCCCCGGGCUUAACUCGGGAACUGCGUCUGAUACUGGAAGGCUGGAGUUCGGGAGAGGAAUGUGGAAUUCCAGGUGUAGCGGUGAAAUGCGUAGAUAUCUGGAGGAACACCGGUGGCGAAGGCGGCAUUCUGGACCGAAACUGACGCUGAGGCGCGAAAGCUAGGGUAGCAAACGGG